UACGUAUGGUGCAAGCGUUAUCCGGAAUGACUGGGCGUAAAGGGUGCGUAGGUGGUUUGACAAGUUGGUAGCGUAACUCCGGGGCUCAACCUCGGCACUACUACCAAAACUGUUGGACUUGAGUGCAGGAGGGGCAAAUGGAAUUCCUAGUGUAGCGGUGGAAUGCGUAGAUAUUAGGAGGAACACCAGUGGCGAAGGCGAUUUGCUGGACUGUAACUGACACUGAGGCACGAAAGCGUGGGGAGCAA
rnacentral:rRNA from 1 species